GAUGAAGAACGUAGCGAAAUGCGAUAAGUAGUGUGAAUUGCAGAAUUCAGUGAAUCAUCGAAUCUUUGAACGCACAUUGCGCCCCUUGGUAUUCCAUGGGGCAUGCCUGUUCGAGCGUCAUUUGUACCCUCAAGCUCUGCUUGGUGUUGGGUGUUUGUCCCCGCCUCCGCGGGGACUCGCCUCAAAAUCAUUGGCGGCCGGUACGUUGGCUUCGAGCGCAGCAGAAACGCGAACUCGAGGCCCGGCGGAUCGGCGACCAGAAGUCUCUUCUUCACAGUUUGACCUCGGAUCAGGUAGGGAUACCCGCUGAACUUAAGCAUAUCAAUAAGCGGAGG
rnacentral:misc_RNA from 1 species